rnacentral:piRNA from 1 species
CCUUAAUUUGCUUCCCGAGUGCUGGGAUAAA